rnacentral:rRNA from 1 species
CAGCCGUAAACUAUGCUCGCUAGGUGUCAGGCAUGGCGCGACCGUGUCUGGUGCCGCAGGGAAGCCGUGAAGCGAGCCACCUGGGAAGUACGGCCGCAAGGCUGAAACUUAAAGGAAUUGGCGGGGGAGCACAACAACGGGUGGAGCCUGCGGUUUAAUUGGACUCAACGCCGGACAAACUCACCGGGAACGACAGCAAUAUGUAGGCCAGGCUGAAGACCUUGCCUGAAUCGCUGAGAGGAGGUGCAUGGCGUAGACGUCU